rfam:TPA: Bos taurus chromosome 14, whole genome shotgun sequence.
UCCCUAGUGGUCCAGCAGUUGGGACUCCUCGCUCUCACUGCUGAGGGCUUGGGUUCGAUCCCUAAUUGGGGAA